GGCAAUCUGGGAUAUCCAAUUAAGAUUUGUGGGCGCCAUCAGUAAGGAUAAAAUGAACCAUAAUCCUUGGGUCAAGUAUCCAAGAUAAUAACCAACCUUAGAGAAGGUAGCAUUAAAUGCGUCUCUUGGCAACCUCACCACAAAUCUUUAAGAAAGAGUUGUCACAUAUCACAAUUAUCCCGACUUAGCCAACUUAAUAUUAAAUGGCCAAAUGCUUAUAAUAAAAAGUAUAGUUAUCGUGUGAUAAACUGCAGAUUUCUGUAGAUAAUAAGACACAGAUUUUCAUUACUCAUAUAUACUCUUGCCAUCGAUCCGACUACAAAAGAAGGAUGGGGGAGCAGAGAGAGGGAAUAAAAACUACAUCUCACUAGUCCUAAACCACGAUCCAAUGAAAUCCGACCUCCACGCGGCAAUUGAUCAUCACCUCAAGAUCUCACCCGUCAUCAAUCAUCAUAAAUAUAAUUUGGCAAGGAAAGCAAGAAUUGUACAUCAGUUCAAAUCUUGCAGCAUUACAAUUAUAAAAUACUAACUUAGAGAUAUUAAAUAUUGCCUAUGGGACGAUAGAGAAUACAUACCUUAGCCAUUGUCUUGCUCCCUGUACCACUAUGUUGGAUGUCAGAAUAGAAUAUGAGCACAGACAUUUUACAACCACCAGGAAGUAAUUGUUUCUCCCGAAGAGGACCAAUUUUGAGAGUGGCAACAUCCACAAAUGUCUCCAACGUGGGAUGAAGAGUAUGAGAAUCAAGUCAAAAGUUUAAAUAAUGGUGAAGGAAAAGUAGUUCACAUGGUUGGAGAUAGCUAUGGAAAGUAUUGUCCUCAAGAUUUGUUCACAAGUACUCAAGCAUACAAGCUGACCAAACCAAACCAAAGAGAAUUCAGUCAAAUUUUGAAAAAAUGUUGUGUGCAAACAAGUAUGGUGAGUAGAAUUACAAAGCAUUGUACAAUUGUUAAAGCUGAGCUAGCAUGAGAGCACCACCGCAAACUUUUCUGCCAUGAGAAGGCAGAGAUGUUAACAUAAUCUCUAUCAUUUCAUGCCCCUAUACUAAAAGAUUCAGCUUUAUAUCUAAAUAUUUCCCUAAAUUCAAACAUAAAAUUUGCUUAGUUGCCAACAUGAGUGAAAUUAUGAAAAAUACAUUUACAGAAAUCCAAACUACAACGUUGGAGAAUAGGCACUUUAUAGACUUUUAAGUGAAAGUUCAUUACACAUAAAAAUGCCCUCACCAUGAUCGUCCCAAGAAGCAACUAUUGUUAAGCUGGCAAGUUGGAAGAAUCUGAGAAGGAUGUGGUAUCAACACAUAUCCAUCAAGGCAGU
rnacentral:lncRNA from 1 species